AAUUUCGCUACAUGAUACAUCGCUGUACUGGAUUAUAAAAAAAUAUGCUGGAAAUUCGACAAUGGAUAAAGAGACAGCGCUUGAAUGAAAGAGAAUGGUAAGUUUUUAAACAGUUUUCAUCACUUUUCCGUAAUAUUUUUUAGUUUAAAGCUCUUCUCGAUCUCUCGAAGCUAUACUUCGGUAGAGUCUGUAGGCAAUGUGGCUAGCGUUGUUUUAUGCAUCUCGUUGCUACCCAUUUCACAUCUCUACGUAAAUCACAUGCCUAUAUAAAGUAGUCUUUCUUUGAUAUAAUUUAAUAUACGACUUUGGAGCAAAUUAAUUUAAUUAUUUAUACAGUAAAGAUGCUGUAUUAAAAGUCCGUAAAUGUAAUUAUGUAACAAACGCUUUGUUUACAUAUUUUUGAACUGUUAUAUAGCCUAUAUUUGUAAAAUAUGAUAUAUUAACUGAAUAUCUAACACUUUUCUGGUUCACUAUGCAUGUAAAUGAAUAUAAACUCUAUGUUUCAAUUAAAAAAAGUUCGAUUUUUUUCAAGGGCCCCCCACAAUUUUGCCUGGGGGUCCACACCCAACUCUUGCUACAUGUAUCUCUUGUAUGAAGCACAAUAAAGGCAUGAUGCAGCUUAAUAGGUUAACUACACACAUGAGCAGUCUGAUUAACACAUUGAGUGACAGCACUCUCCCUAGGCGUAAAAAAAUACCUGUGGUUCCGGUUCCCGACCGACCCUAUUUUUUUUCUGCCGACCCUAUUAUUUUUUCAGCGCGAUUGGCCGUACGACCUUAUUUUCUCCAGGUGGUUGCGGGCUGCUCGUACAGCCUGCCAAAAUGGCGUCUGUUGUCACACUAAUUAUUGAACCAAAUUGCCUAAAUUUGUCCGUAGGAAAUACGCAUCUCUAGUUAAUACUGAUGUCGGGACUCUACUGCAAAUCACCCAGCAAAAAACCACCAAAACCAUGAAAAAAUAUUAAAAAAAAAAUUAUUUCCGACCUACCGACCCUAAUUUUUUCACGAUAUGAAACCGGAACCACAGGUAUUUUUUUUACGCCCUAUCUAUCCAAGUUUUGACAGUUUUUCAGGCAUUUUAUAUGCUGGUAAUAAAUUGCUUUUCAAGAGUUUAUUGUAUUAUAAUUAUAAAACAGUUUUUCAAGAGAAAUUCAUGACAACCAGGAACCGAGACGAGUUGGUUUUUGUACUAUUGAUGUACUGUAUGGUACGGUAUAUACAACACAAGUUGUAUUGAAUUAAAAUACAAACUAUCAUGAUGACAGUCAAAUCCCGCAUUCCGUUGCCGGCAAUAUUGUCACGCAAUAUUGAUCAGCUGAUUGCUCUAGUUUUACAUACAGUUGCAAUUAUUGGGUAUGUUGCCAAUUUGUCGAGAGGUUGUGCCCAAAUGUCAGAUGCCUUGUUUUGUGCUAGUAAGCCAAUCGGGCUUUAUUUACAAUUUGCUAGAGCAAUCAGCCGAUCAAUAUUGCAAUACUGCGCGGCAAUGUUGCCUGCAACAGAACACCAGAUUUGACUGUAAUUACGCAUGCUAUAUGUCUAAAUUCAUCCUCAAAUGAAGACUGUGAACAUUCAUCUACUAUCAGUGCUACUUAACUAAGGUUCAACAAUUUCUAUGACACUAUAUAAGCUGUAUUUUAUACAGUCACUUUUUAUUUAAGAAUAAAUUGUUAACUGAUUACAUUGUCUUAUUCAAAUACACUAAUCAGACAUACUGUACAUGAUAUUAUAAGUACUAUUUACAACAUGAGCAGCUGUGUUGUAUCGGAUAUACAAACUCGAGCCGAAGGAGAGAGUUUGUAUAUCCGAUACAACACGGACGCGAAUGUUGUAAAUGGCUUAAAAAACUACUCAUCUUAUGAGUUCAUUGGAGAAGUAAUUUUAAAAAUAAACGUUGUCUAAGCUGAGAAAAUCAAAGUUAAAGUCUAUGUAAAUCAACAUGAAUCUGUAUCACAUAUACAGAUACGACACAUGAUUUUUCUUUGUGUUUUCUUCAUGAAUUAUUAAUGAGUUUUUUAAUUUGAAAUACACGUACCAAGGUAAUUAUCUAAUUAGACAACCUUACAUUAUAAUAUUGUUUAACCAUUAAAUGCCAGCGCUCUCCCCUUGACAAGUAAAAUCGUCUGGCGUUAGACAGUAAAAUACUGAAGUAGGGUGCAAUGCGACUCAAUGGGUUAACUAGACACAUGGGCAGAUAGGCCAGUUAACCCAUUAACCGCCAGCGCUCUCCCCUUGACGAGUAAAAUCAUUAGACAGCUAGAGUAAAAUACUAAAGUAGGGUGCAUCAGGGUGCAAUGCGACUCAAUGGGUUAAUUCACUUUUAUUAAAUGUGUUUGACUGUUUGACCCUAAUUUCAGGGUCUUAGCUUGGAUAUGAGAUUUUGGGAGUGCUGCCUUGUAAAUUUCAGAGUGUGUACUAGCCAAUAGACGUCUGCCUUGUGAUGUAGUUUGCAGAUAAAUACAAUGAUAUCAUAUAUGACAUUUGGCCAAUCAGGCAAGCCAAAUGGCUGUGUGGGGUUUUCCUUUAUCCGCAAACUAUGUCACAAGGCUGACUUUUUAAAAAGGUCUAUUACCCUGAAUAUCCCAAGUUUCAGUAAUGCUUGCCAACAAUAGACUAUGUCUGUGGUUCUAUAUGUGGUUGACCAAAUACAACGCCGGCAUAAUUAUUAUAUUAUAAUGUUGGGCAAAAACUAUAUACAGUACAUGCGUGUACCUAACAUAAGAACAUCACAGAAUUAACCCGAAUUACCUUCUGCAAACUAGAUUUUACACUGUUUUUUUUAAGAAAUAAAUAGAAGCAUAUUCUGACUGUUGUAAUUAGUAGCAACAUUCUAUUUUAUGAACCUAGUACAUGGUUUUAUACAAAUAAUCAAGCCACAUUCUUUUUAUCUUGUCGUGUUUUUCCACUUCAGGCCACAGCCUUCUAGCUGCAACCCCCUGCCUACUUGGGAGCAUUGAAGUUAAUCAAAUGAAUUCAUCUUAUUCAUCUUAGGCAACAGCAAUUCAACUAUGUAACAAAAUACCAAUGUGUACAAGCCAAUCAAGUCCAACGUGUUGUCAUUUUGGGAUGUUGUAAAAUAGUUCAGUUGGAUUUGCCGAUGGAGUACUUGAAAAGG